UUAAUUAUCAGAGCUUUAAUUAAGUUAAGAUCAUCACGAAAUGAGUCUGUUUUAUGCAGAUUGUUCAUUCCAUUGACAAGCUGGGGAUAUGGCAUCGUCUACCUGUUUUCUUAGGGCUAUUGUAUCUGGCUAUCAGACGUCACCUUCACCAAGAGUACAACCUCUUCAACGUUGGAACAACACCAACUGGGAUUAGGUUCAACCAUUCAGAUUUUCCAUACAGAACAGCUGAUGGAAAAUAUAAUGAUCNUUUCAAUGAAGUUGCUGGCAGCCAAGGAACUUUCUUUGGCAGAAACAUGCUUCCUGUUGAUCAGAAGAAAAAGGUCAACAAUCAUAGCUAGUUAUAAUAAUUUCAUAAAAUAUCAGUGUUUUUACUGCUAUAGUUUGUUGACUUGUUCUUAUAUGAUUUUGAUCCUUUGAGGAUAGUGAAUUUUGAAGGCAUAGUUUUGUGUGUGUGCAGCUAUUGAAGCCUGAUCCAAUGGUGGUAGCAACAAAACUACUAGCUAGAAGGACAUAUAAGGACACAGGGAAGCAAUUCAACGUGAUUGCAGCUUCUUGGAUUCAGUUCAUGAUUCACGAUUGGAUCGAUCAUCUUGAGGAUACCAAACAGGUCAAUCAAUUUCUAAAACCAUGAUGAUGUUUUUUAUUGUGAUAAUAAGAAGGUAUUUAAUUUAAUUUGUUCAUGAAAUUUUGAUACAUAUUUACAUACAUAUAUAUGCAGAUUGAACUGACUGCACCAAAAGAAGUUGCAGGCCAAUGCCCUCUAAAAUCUUUCAAAUUCUUCAAAACUAAGGAAAUUCCCACUGGAUUCUAUGAGAUAAAAACGGGAUCAUCGAACAUUCGAACACCAUGGUGGUAAGAUUUCUACUGCAGUUUACCUCAGCCAAAAGUUAAAGGUUAAUGUUGAUAAGUUUAUUAUUCCUACUUCUUAUACUGAGUUUAUGACUAACAUAAUUUCAGAAAAAACAGUUUUUAAACGAGGAGCAUAUCUCACUUAUAUAUUAUAAAAGUUUUCGAUAUGUACUAAGUAAUGAUACUGACAGAAAAUUAUAAUUUGAAAAAGGAAAGAAAAGAUAACUUAGAUGAAAAAAAUGGCGGCGUAUAUGCAUGUAGAAAAUUCAAUGCGUGGGGGCACGAUAGCGUUUACAUCUAACAAAAUGGCGGCGAAAGAUAUAAGAUAUGUGAUUUGGUUUGAUUUAGGUUGACCUACCUACAUAUUUUUGGCAAUGGGACAUUAUUUUACUAUUUUUGACCGAAGUGUUGCCAAGAUCGGAGUGAAUCUUAACGAGAAUCAAUAAUCUUUCUAAAAUUUUUAAAAAUAAAAAUUCAUGAAAAUUAAAUUAGGUAAAUUUUUAUUUCUUUUAUAAAUUAUGUAAUAAUAAAAUAUAAAAUCAAAUAUAAUAAAUAAUAAAAUUAUUAAGAUUUUUUUUUUUUUAAUUUUCUCUUACCUUUACCUGUUGGUGUUCAUUUCCCACCCUCUCAUGCUUACUUUUUAUCAUAAAGGAAAAAAAAACAGGUUAAAAUUCAUUAUUCUAAAUUAUGGAUUUUUGUUAUGUUUGUAAUAUUCAUCAAAUAUAUAAAUUUUCGUAUAUACCUAAGAAAAACUCGUCGAGUUAAGUCAGAACAAAAUAUAUUUUGAAAUAAAAGAAUGAGUAUAAGAGUGAGUAUGAUUUUUUUUUUUUAAAUAUCAUAUCUUUAUAAAAUUAUUUGAACUUUAGGAUUCAUGUCAUAAAAAUAUAAUGAUAUAAUAAAUUAUAUACCAACAAAAUAAAAACUUAUCUUAAAUAAAUAAUAUUAAUAAUAAUAAUAUGAGAUCUUAUCAAUAAUAAUAUUCAAAUCUACUAGAUUUGUCAUGAUUAUAAGAAAUAUUAGUUUUAGUAAAAGUAAUAUCACACUCAUAUUUAUUUGACACAUUUAAUUUGAGUAAAUUGAUCUUAAAAAAGUGAAUUUUUGUAAUUUAAAAAAAAAUAAAAAUAAAAGGUAAGAAAAAGUAGUAUGAAAUGAAUGUAAAAAAAUUAUGUAGGUUAAAGUAUAUUGGACUAAUGUAAAAGUUAAAAGUAGCUGAUAUGAAAGUUAUUGGUAUAUAGUCUCUGAGAGAAGAUGUUUAAGUUGCAUGGAUUUGGUUGGUGAAAUAGGGAUGCAAGUGCUGUGUAUGGAAGCAAUGGAGAAGUUUUACAGAAAGUGAGGACUUUCAAAGAUGGAAAGCUAAAUAUAUCAAAGGAUGGAAACCUUCUGCAUAACGAAAAUGGAACAGCAGUUGCAGGUGACAUCCGCAACAGUUGGGCUGGUGUUUCAACUCUGCAAUCCCUUUUCAUUCAAGAACACAAUGCAGUUUGUGAUUCUCUCAAGGUAUAAUAUUCAUAAAUUAUAUCAUGGAAAAAACAGUAACCAAUCUUAUUUUAAAAACAAACUCAUCAAUUAAAAGAAAAUACUAACAAAAUACCUGUUUUUAAUUGUACUGUUUCAGAAAUAUUACCCUCAUUUGAAUGAUGAAGAACUUUAUCGCCAUGCAAGAUUGGUGAUUUCAGCUGUGAUUGCAAAGGUUCACACCAUUGAUUGGACUGUGGAGCUUCUUAAAACUGAUACUCUACAUGCAGGAAUGCGUGCCAACUGGUAAGCUUCUCGGCACCACACAAUUUUCUGACACAUUUUACAUUAAAAAAUUUAUCUACUGCCUUUUUUUUUUUUCAUUUAUAUUCAAAAUGUAAAAUGAAGUGUUAUUUAUUUCUAUUUAUUUUUUGAAAUUAUUGUUUAAUUUUCAGGUAUGGACUAUUGGGGAAGAAGUUUAAGGAUACAUUUGGACAUGUUGGUGGGUCCAUCUUGGGAGGAUUUGUUGGUAUGAAGAAGCCAGAAAAUCAUGGUGUCACAUACUCUUUAACAGAAGAAUUUGCGAGUGUCUACAGAAUGCACCCACUCCUACCUGAUAACCUGCAUCUGAGAGACCUAUCUGCAACUCCUGGGCCAAACAAAUCUCUACCAGUAAUCAAAGAGUAUGAUAAUAAAAUCUUACCUAAACCUUUCUUUUCCCAAAGACAUUACUACAUAUGUUUCUAUUUAUAGUUUAUAAGAAUUGAUAUUGAACUCUUCAAUAACUUAUAUUGUUUUUAAGAAUUGUUCUUAUUUUUAAGAUUGAUAUAUAAAGUUAGAUUAUCUCAAUAAUUUGAAGCAUUUUUCAUUAUCUUUUACCAAAAUUCCAUUUGGUAUUGUAGAAUUCCUAUGAAAAGCUUGAUUGGACUACCAGGAGAGAAGACAUUAUCAGAAAUAGGAGUUGCAAGACAACUUGUGUCAAUGGGUCACCAAGCUUGUGGAGCAUUAGAGCUUUGGAAUUAUCCAGAGUGGCUAAGAGACCUUGUACCACAGAACAUUGAUGGCACAGAAAGGUCUGAACAUGUGGACCUGGCUGCUCUUGAAAGUAAGAUAUAGACAUACAUAUAUAUAUGUAAAAGUUUAUGUAUAGUUUUAAUAUUAAGAUAUAAACGUUAUCUAGUUAUUAACCCUAAAAUUAUGAUGCAGUUUACAGGGAUAGGGAAAGGAAUGUGGCUAGAUACAACCAGUUUAGGAGGUCAUUACUGUUAAUACCUAUCUCAAAGUGGGAAGAUCUAACUGAUGAUAAGGAAGCAAUUAAAGUAUUGGAAGAAGUAUAUGGAGAUGAUGUUGAAGAACUUGAUCUACUUGUAGGUCUCAUGGCAGAGAAGAAAAUAAAGGGUUUUGCAAUCAGUGAGACAGCUUUUGUGAUAUUCCUCCUCAUGGCAUGCAGGUAAAAGGAAUAACAUUAAAAUACCAAAUAUGUCUGUUAUAAAAUGUUUCUUUGUUCUAAAGGAUUCAUUGUGUGUUUUUAAGUGUAACUUUUGGACUUUGUUUUGUGAAGUGAUUUUGAAAGGGAGAUUAAUUGUAACAAUGAAUGAAACUGUUUUUGUGGAAUUGCAGGAGGCUGGAAGCUGAUAGGUUCUUCACAAGCAACUAUAAUGAAGAAACAUACACUAAAAAGGGACUUGAAUGGGUGAACACAACUGAGAGUUUGAAAGAUGUGAUUGAUCGUCACUAUCCUGAAAUGACACACAAAUGGUUGAACUCUUCUAGUGCUUUCUCUGUUUGGGAUUCACUUCCAAACUCACCCAAUCAUGUUCCUCUUUACCUUCGUGUUCCUCAUUAAUAUGUAAUUUCGAUAUUUAUGUGUUUUAUUUGGAUCUAUCUUUUGUUAAGUUUGAAUUAAUAUGUAUAUUUUUAUCUUGUAAAACACUAUGUUUCGAUCUAUAUGUAUUCAGUCUUAAAUGUAUUUGAGUUUGAGUGAAUACUAUAGUUUGUUUGUAUCUUAAAAUUUUCAAGGAAGAAAUAAAAGUGUAUGUAGUUAUGUAUUUUUAAAGCAUGUUUGUUAAAUUCUAGUCUAUCUUAAACUUCUUGUAAUUUGAUUAAAUAAUAUUCUUUGUCGAUUAUUUUUGUUUAGAUAACUAGAUUCAUAUUUUUAAAUAGAACUAUUCUAGUCUAUUAUAUAACUAUGAGCACAGACCCUUAGGGAAAAUCCAUAAAUGCACAUUUUGAAAAUAUGACAGACGUGAUCUCAUUUAGUUUUCUUGUUAUUACUGAGUGCUACCCUUAGAAAAUUUUCAAUACUGUCCACUGUGUGUGGUUGACACCUGUUUUAGACCAUGAUAUUUUUGUUAUUUGUACUAUAUUGAUUUGAAAACAUAACUAUGAAAAUAAAACCCUUAGGGAAAAUCCAUAAAUUUCCCCACUGAUAAUUUGACAGUUGCUACUUUAUUUGGUUUUUUUUGUCAUUUAUUACCCUUACGAAAAUUCCAAAAUUGUUUAUUGUGCUUGGUUAACACUUAUUCUAAAGGACAAUGAUAUUUUGAUAACUCUUUUUUGACAACUUUUUGACAACAGGUGUCAUCAUUUUAUUGGUCUGUUUAAAUUUAUGUUUAAAAAAAUAUUUGAAACGGACCAAUCAUAGACUGCCACGUAUGUAUUGUCAAAAAAGAAUUGUUAAAGAGACUUUUUCCUAUUCUAAAUCAUGACUUUUUUGUCUUGCACUGUACUCAUUUGACAUUUAUCAGCUUUUGAAAAGUUGAACACAUAACAUGUUAUUUUAUUGGAAAAUGAUAUUUUAACACCAUUUUUUGACACUAUUUUGACACUGCACACGUGUCAAAAUGUGAUUGGACGAUUUCAAAUGAAAAAAACAAACUUUGGUUUUUCUCUUUCAAAUAUAUCCCUAUUUCAACUUUUUUAAUUGAAAUCGUCCAAUCACAUUUUGACACGUGUGCAGUGUCAAAAUGGUGUCAAAAAAUUGUGUUAAAAUAUCAUUUUCCUAUUUUAUUCAACCCUCUUCACAGCUCAGUUUGGAGGAGUCGUGUAAGGGUUUAGUUGGUGUAUUAAAUAGUGCUAAAUCAGUUUUAACAUGAAAACUUGGAGUCUGGAUAAUUUAUUGGUGCAGUAUUGUGUUUUAAAGCUUGAAACUGAGUUAUUAGACUAUGGAUAGUUUGGGUGUAACGAGUUGUUAGAUAAUGGUUCGUUUAGAGAUGUAAUUGAAUUGUUAGUGUUAAAAAUACAUAGCGAAUGUUUAAAUUAUAGACAAAAUCAAGAAGGAGUCUGGGAAGUUAGAUCAUCUAGAACCUUAGAUUGUAUAGGAUGUUAGAUCAUCAGGAGUGUUAGAUAUCCUCAUGAGAACUAAACGGUCCUUAGGUGUUAAACACUUCUUGGAUGUUAGACCGUUUGGGUGUUAAAAUGUCUCGGAUGUUAGACCGUUUGAGGUGUUAGAUCAUUGAGGAUGUUAGACGGUGAGGUGUGUUAGACGAUUUGGGAUGUUAGUCUAUUACAAGUGUUUGGGUUUUAUAAGGUAUGAGGUGUUAGACCCGAGGUGUUAGGAUGUUAGAUAGUCUAGGGUAUAAGAUCAUCUAGGGUGUUAAAUGUGUUUAAGGUGUUAAAAGGGUCUGGAGUGUUAGAUGCGUUUAGCAUAACAGAUAAGGAAAAAGUCUCUUUACCAACUCUUUUUUGACAAUUUUUUGACAACGCAUACGUGGCAGUUUGUGAUUGGUCCAUUUCAAAUAUAUUUUUAGAAUAAAUUCAAACAGACCAAUAGAAUUGUGACACGUGUCCUGUUGUCAAAAAGUUGUUAAAAAAGAGUUGUUAAAAUAUCAUUGUCCAACAGAUAAUUUGGGGUGUCAGACACGUCUCGGGUGUUAGAUCGUUUGGAGUGUUAAAACAUUAUUUUUUUUUAAUUUAAAAUCGUCCAAUCACAUUUUGACACGUGUACAAUAUCAAAAUGGUGUCAAAAAAUUGGUGUUAAAAUAUCAUUUUGCUUUCUUCUUUCACCUAUAAUAUAUAUCUCGGAUAUAAGUAUUUCUUCUUAAAUCUUGUAUUUUCUGUUGGAUGCAUAUUAUAUGAAAGGUUUACUACAGUUACCAAAAAUAUUAUGGUCCCCGUUUGUUUGAUGAUGGUGUGAAAACUUGAAAUAAUAAUAAUCUUACCAAUUAAAAUUAGAAAACACAUAAUGCAAAAAAUUUUGUAAACAGUUUUGGACUGUGUAUAUAUUAUCUCAUAUUAGCAAAAUUUACAGUGGCUAAAUCACGGGUUACAUUACAUUAGCGAAAACCAUUUAUUUUCUGAAUUAUAUUUUUUUUUAAGCUUUAGAUAUGGAAUAGGUUAGAAAACAAACUUUCUAAAGUUAAAAUUUACUUUUACGUGUACUAACAUUUUUUCUUCUAAGAUUCACGGUUGCAUUAAUUUUUUUAGUUUGUCACUUGUUUAAGUGUCUGAAAACAUUAAUUUUUGUUUUAAUCCGUGACAACACAAUCACUUUCUUCAUUAUUGAGUAAAACAAAGACUCUGAAAUUUCCAUCUCUUCAUUAUUGAAUAAAACAACCUAUCUUUUCCCCCCACACACAGUAUGUCUCCUCCUUUACACCGUAGAAUCAGAUAUAUUGUUUUGGCUUCAUGUCAAAAUUUCUUCAAGGCUAUGGAAAAGUAGUAUCAAUAGGUCUAUUCUUUUGGAAACAUCCAACAUCAAAGGCCAUCACAGGCUGCUCAGAAAAAGCAUAAAAGCUUGUCUUUUCCUUAAUGAAAAAACAAAACGAAAAAUUUAGAGAAACAAGAGAGAGAGUGAGAUUGAAUCUGGACUUCUGAGUUGGACGAAGAAGGAAUUAACAGUGGACUUUAGAGCACCCAGAACUUACAUAUUUUUGCUAGAAUAGAGGUAGGGGAGCUAAACCUUGAAAUUGUUAAAAGGGUCGGUCGUUUUUUUUUUUUUUCUGCUCUUUUUUGAUCGUCCAAUCCUUUCUGAGAAAACAAUCCAGUCCGAUGGAUUGUUGAUCUGCAGAAAAUACUAUGACACUCAAAUCAAAUAUGUCUCAUAAAAAAAUCUUUAUUUGAUUAGGAUAGAUCAAGAUUUUUUUUACCUGGACAUUAACCCUACAUUUAUAGGGCUUAUAACAAUCAAAUCCGUUAAUUAAUCAUCAAUAUCAUAUAUUUGUAAAGUGUAACGUAAUCUGACCCAUUAAUAUCUGCUAAUAUACCUGCUAACUGCUCAUGAAUGACCAUUAACUCCGAUUGAUAUAUUUCAUAUAGUACAUAAGUCCCCCAAGCCCAAGAUAUAGUAGAUCUUUAUUGGAAUAGGUGCACAGGGAUUAUUUUGAGCUUAAGAGUGGUCGCUCAUGUUGUGUUAGGGAGUCUAUUUUCGAUGCACUUUAAGUUUUCAUUCCUUUUUGUACCAAGCAGUGGACUUUAGGAGUUCUCUUUGGAACUAUUCCCUAGACUAAGCAAAAAAUGUUAGGAGUAGUAGACGAUACGAUAGGAGUUCUCUUUGAAACUUUUUCCUGUGCAAGAAUUUUUCACACAAAAAGUAUGUGUUAAACAAAAUAAGGUAAACGCUUCAAUAUUUUAUAAUAUAUCUUUAUAAUGAAAAGGUAUCGGAAAGAUGAACAUAGAUGGUCCGAGCGGGUAGGGACUGAACUUGUUGAGUAGUUGACCCUAGGAGUUCUUUUUAGAACUUUUUCCUAUGUUGAUCAGAGGCACUAGAAGUUCUUUCCUAUGUUGAGCAGAGACACUAGAAGUUCUAUUUGGAACUUUUUCUCUAGGCCAAGUGACGACUGAUGAUAAGAGUUCUUUUUUUAUAACUUUUUCCUAGCGAAGGCACUGGAAGUUUUAAUGGAACCUUUUCUCUAGGCCGAGCGGCGACUGAUAGGAGUUCUUUUUUAGAACUUUUCCUAUGUUGAGCGAAGACACUAAAAGUUCUAUUGGAACUUUUUCUCUUGGUCAGGUGGCGACUGAUAGGAGUUCUCUUUUAGAACUUUUUCCUAUGUUAAGCAAUAGAAGCUAGGAGUUCUUUUUAAAACUUUUUCUUGUGCAAGAUAUUUUCAUUCAUAAAAAUAUGCGUUAAACAAAAUAUUCAAUCUUUUAUUUUUAUAAUGAAAAGUCAUUAGAACCUGACAAGGUUGGACUUUGGUGGUCCAACUGACCAAGCGGUAAGGGAUUGAACCUUCUUGUGCAGGAUAUUUUUACUCACAAAAAUAUGCGAUAAAUAAAAUAUUCAACAUUUUAUUUUUAUAAUGAGAAGGCAUUAGAACCUAAUAAGGUUGAACGUUGGUGGUCCAAUCAACCAAACGUUAAGGGAUUGAACCUUCAUGUGCAGGAUAUGCAUUAAAUAAAACAUUCAACAUUUUAUUUUUAUAAUGAGAUGACAUUAGAACCUGAUAAGGUUGAACGUUGGUGGUCCAAUCGAUCAUUGAACCUUCCUGUGCAAGAUAUUUUUACUCUCAAAAAUAUGCUUUAAAUAAAAUAUUCAACAUUUUUUUUAUAAUGAGAAGUCAUUAGAACAUGAUAAGGUUGUUGGUUGUCCAACUGACCAAGCGGUAAGGGAUUGAACCUUCCUAUACAGGAUAUUUUUACUCACAAAAAUAUACAUUAAAUAAAAUAUUCAACAUUUUAUUUUUAUAAUGAGAAGGCAUUAGAAACUAAUAAGGUUGAACGUUGGUGGUCCAAUCAAACAAACAGUAAGGGAUUGAACCUUCCUGUGCAGGAUAUGCAUUAAAUAAAACAUUCAACAUUUUAUUUUUAUAAUGAUAUGACAUUAGAACCUGAUAAGGUUGAACGUUAGUGGUCCAAUCGAUCAUUGAACCUUCUUGUGCAAAAUAUUUUUACUCACAAAAAUAUGCGUUAAAUAAAAUAUUCAACAUUUCCUUUUUAUAAUGAAUCGUUAGGAACAUGAUAAGGUUGUUGGUGGUCCAACUGACCAAGCGGUAGGGAUUGAACCCUCAUGUGCAAGAUAUUUUUACUCACAAAAAUAUGCAUUAAAUAAAAUAUUCAAUAUUUUAUUUUUAUAAUGAAAAGCUAUUAGAAUCUAACAAGGUUGAAAGUUGGUGGUCCAACUGACCAAGAACCUUCCUGUGCAUGAUAUUUUUACACACAAAAAUAUGCGUUAAAUAAAAUAUUCAACAUUUUAUUUUUAUAAUGAGAUGGCAUUAGAACUUGAUAAGGUUGAACAUUGGUGGUCCAAUCGACCAAGCGGUAAGGGAUUGAACAUUCCUAAAAGUUCUCAAAACAAAAGACAUGCCUUUAGAAAUUAUUAUGAAAUUUUUUGCUCUUGUUGCAAAACCUAGUAUUGAUCUGAAGUAGCGAUGUCGAGACUGAGCGUGUGUCUGGUUCCUCGUGGUUUCAUGGGAAUGUCGCUCAGCCCCACAGUGGGUGCCAAAUGUUUCGAUUAAUAUUGUUCGAGGUUCGGUCGUCCUUCCUUACUCUGCUUUCUUUCGGUUGUUCAAUCAUCUCCGAGAACGCAAUCCACUCUGAUGGGUUGUUGACCUACAGAAGACACUCCGACGCGGAUAGAUCAAAGUUCUUUUACCUGGACAUUAACCCUACAUUUAUAGGGCUUAUAGCAAUCAAGCUCAUUAAUUAAUCAUCAAUACCGUAUAUUUGUAAAGUGUAAGACAAUCUAAUUCAUUAAUAUCUGCUAACUACCCAUAAAUAACCAUUAAUUUCAAUCCGUAUAUUUCAUACAGGACAAAACCAUUUCUUUACUCAUUGUAGAACUUGUAUGAUUUCCUUGAAUUGCAUUCUGUUGCAUCUUGAAUGAUCGGUAGAGAUGCAUGUCAUAUCUUGAAAGCUGGUCAUGAAUUUUAUUGCUGUAGGAUAUACCCGUUGUUAACUCUGAUAAAUAUGAUACAAUCAUAAACCUAGCUGAACAAGUGUUACUUCACGGUUCUACACAAAGUGUGUUUCUAGUCAUAUGAUUGUCGCAAGACGAUGUCUUUCUUUAGUUUAUGGUUACGCUUGCUGACUUUGGUUGGGAGGCACGAAACAGUUUGGCAAUAGAGAAUAAUCGAAGGUUUGGUAUAUAGAACCAUUUAUUCCAUGUUAUCUAGCUUUGUAUUUUAUUUAUUUGGCCAUAAUUCAUUAUGCUUGUAGUUAAUUUAAAUCAUUUUGACUCUGCCACAUGUCGUAGCCCACUAAGUUUUGUUUCUAGCAUGCUCUCUGUUAGGUACAAUUAUAUAGUAUAAGUAUUAAUAAAAAAUAAGACUGAACUAAGACUGUUUUUCUUUCUUUUUAUCAAACGGUGCAAAGGUUUAUUGGUUUAAUGUAUCUGAAUAGUUGGCUUCAAAGAGCGUCUUGCAAUUUUUCUUUUUCUUUUUUUAUAUUUUCUUUUAUUAAAACUGCACAGUUUUUUUAGAGCAUGGGCUUGUUUAUACAAUGAUUUUUAAAAUAAUAACAGAUAGGCAUGCAUUAUCAUAUGAGUGGAAUUUUUUUUUAUUACAUUAUUCCCUUGGCCAGAACUUUUGGCAUGAAGGUGAUGAUUAUUCACACAAAGUAUUCUUUAAUUAGUAUAAGGGUUAUUUCUAAACAAUAUUAUUUUAAUGAAUACGUGUAGAAUCAAGUGUGUGUUUCUAUACAAUGGUGGAAAUUGUUUUCCUUACUUUAAUUUGAUAAAAUAUGUGUUUCAAAAUGGCUGAAGGAAAUUCACAGUUGUAUAUUGUGAGUGGACUAGGAAUGAUUCUUUUGUGCAGCAAUCUGCCCAUGCAAAAUGAAUGAGACUUGCACCCCAUUAAACAACCUUUUCCCUUUCUACAACAUAGUAAAAAGGUCGAAUUUUAGAAAUUUACUGUGACCAGUACAGAGGUCCAAACAUUUCGAGUUAGUAGUCAUUGAAAAAAAAAUUUGAGUCUACAUUUCAAUCCAAAAAGAAUAAUCUCUUUGGAGUUAGGUGUAGAAAGCUACAAAUAAAACAAGUACCAAAGGUCGGAAAUGGCAGACAAUGAAAAACGUUAAACUUUAAAGAAUUUAAUUGUACUUGAUGAAAUGUUUAAAAAUUACGAGUGAGUAGUCAUUGAAAAUAUUUUUUAGUCUAGAAUCCAACAAAACAAAAAUAAACUCAUUUGAAGUUCUGUAAAAAAAAUAAAUAAAACAUUGAACAAAGGUCGAAGUUGACAACACUUUGUCUUGAACGUGUUUUUGGAUUUUAAUGCAAAUUGACAUGUGGUUAGUUUCUUUGAGAUUUGAUAGAAUAGCCUUGAUGAUUCUCUAGUUUUAUCGUGAAUAACCAGGGGAGAUUUAUGUUUUAUCUCGGUAGUUAAAAGAAUAAUUCCUUUUACCUGUGUAAGGCGAUAGGUGGAUUCAAGUCCUGCUAUUUUCCUAUUUCGAGGGAAUACAAAUAAAUGUCUCGCUAUAGGUUUAUGUCUCGUACUGAGUAUUGUGUUUGGUGAAUGGAUGUUACUUACCAAUGUUUUUACUCAUAAUACCUUGAAGAAUAAGGGAGAUACGUCUGAAGUUGCGUGUGGAGGACGACUUUAUCCACGGUCCAUAUGAGGGACCGGUUUUGAUAUAUGUCUAUCAAAUGUAAUUAUAGGAUAGAACCGAGAUAGGUCCAAUAGCUAAGUGUGAAGGACCAGUGUCCAUUAGGUGUGUGUGAAGGACAAAAAUCGAUAAGUCUAAUAUCUAAGUGAGAGGGAUGGAAAAUGGAGGGAGACUCGUGUUCAUUUAUUGUUAUUAUACGAUACAAUAUCAGGGGAUAACACUUAAUGUUAUUAUUAGAUGUUUGAAGUGUGAAAAUAAGUUUAUUUAUAAUUUAUGUUUCUCUAUACUUGGUUAGCUCACCCUAUUUAUAUGCCUACGAUGAUCGUAUAACUCAUGUCGUUAUACGGGAAUAGAUAAUGUUUCAGGUAAAGCUGAAGAAGUUUAGUGCGGGGAUGCGUUGGAAAAACUCUAUGGGACUUUUAAAAUAUGUAUUUUAAAUUGUGAAAUGUGUGUUUUGUAAUUCUAAACAGUUUUUAAGAUUCGGUCUAUAUUUCAAUAAUUAUUCUUGAAAAUUUUCAUGUUAUUAUUAUGUAAUAAUAUUAAAAGUUAUGACUUUAAAUGUCAUCGAAUAUUAUGUAAAUUUUUUUGUGACACUCUAAAAAAGGGUGUUACAUAAGGUGUUAGACGCGUCUGAGUUGUUAGACCUAGACUGUCUUCGGUGUUAUACCGUCUAGGGUGUUAGACUAUUUGGGUUGUUAGACCGCCUAGGGUGUUAGACGCGUCUGGGAUGUUAUACCGUCAUGGGUGUUAGAUGCGUUUAGGGUGUUAGAUCGUUUGGGGUGUUAAACGCAUUUGGAGUGUUAGACUGUCUAGGGUGUUAUACUAUUUGAAAGUGUUAGACUAUCCAGGGUAUUAGACAUGUCUGGAUUGUUAGACCGUCUGGGAUGUUAGACCAUCUUGGGUGUUAGAUGCGUCUAGGGUGUUAGACGGUCUAGAGUGCUAGAGGGUCUAAUGUGUUGGAUCGUCUAGGUGUUAAACGUGUCUGGGUGUUAGACGCUUGAUCAUCUAGGGUGUACAAGACUUAAACAACAAGAUCAUUUCAUUUUCAAUAUCUAUCUUUAACCGGUUCAUUCUUUAAAUCUUCAAAACUUCUCUAAACAUCAUCAUCAUUAUCAAAAUUCUUUAUUAAACCCUCUUCUUCUUUUUCUAGUAGUUAUACAAUAAGUCGCCUGGGGUGUAACAGAGUUGUUAGACGAUGUGGAUGGAUCGCCUUAGGGUUAGGCUGAGUUGUUAGACGAUGGAUCAUCGGUUAUAAAAUGUUUUAUAAUUUACUUGUGGCCUCUUAAAAUGGAGUAUUAAAGAAGGCGUAGAGAGCUUAGCCUUGGAGAAGCUUAGCCGAAAGAGUUCAUAGAGCUUGGUUGAAGGAGUUUAGCCAUGGAGAUUUGGGCUAAAUGAGGUCAACCCUAAGAGAUCGGCUGAAAGACCUCGUCCUUUGAGGAGCUCUACCUUGGAGGAGCUUGGCUGAAGGAGUUCAGAUAACUUGGUUGAAAGAGCUCAACCUAGAGGAGCUCGAUCUCGGGGAGCUCAGCUUAUGGGAGCUCAGCCUAGUGGGAGAUCGGCUUGGAGGAGCUCGACGCGGAAGCUCGACACGAAAGUUUGGCCUGGAUAAGCUCCAUCUGAGGCUGCUAGACCUACCGAGCUUGAUCUGAAGGACCUCAGCUUAGGGAAGAACUCGACUUUGGGGAAAGUUGGGCCAAGUGGGAGAGCUCGGUUGUAAGGGAGAGCUUGGCCUUGAUGGAGAGCUCUUGGAGAAGAAUUUAGCCUUGAUGUAGAGCUUAGCUUGGAGAGCUCGAGCUAGAGAGCUUUGCCUGAAGAGCUCGGCUUGGAAAGCUCAACCUACAGAGCUCGGCCUAGAGAGCUCAACCUAUAGAGCUCGGCCUAGAGAGCUCAACCUAUAGAACUCAGCCUAGAGAGCUCAACCUAUAGAGCUCAGCUUGGAGUGCUCAACCUAAAGAGCUCAGCCUAGAGGGGUCGGCCUAGAAGAGGUCGCUCUAUAAGAGUUCUGCUUAAAUAUCUCGACCCUAAGAGCUCGAUUAGAGGAGCUCAAACUGGACAAUUGGGCUUGGGGAAUUCAAUCUAAGUGAACUCAGCCUAUGAGAGCUUGACUUGAAGAAGCUCAGCUUGCAAAAGGUUGGCUUAAAAGGAGCUCGGCCUAGGAGAGCUCAAUUGAUGGAGUUUGAUCGGGAUAGCCUAGCUUGAGAGUUCAACCAAGAAGAAUUUAGUUCAAGAAAGCUCGAUUUAAAGGAACUCGAAUUAAUAAAACUCAUCUUAGACAACUUAACCUAUAAAAACUUAACCUACAAAAAUUCAGUUUGUCAUAAUUCGAUCUAAUUGAACUUAUCUAAAAGAGCUGAUACUUAAAAACUCAAAAACUCAGUAUAUAAUUAAACUUAUUAAAAGAACUAAUCGUGAAAAAAUUAACCAAACAUACAUACAAUACAAUUAUUUUAAUAAUGAGAGUUAUAAGUAUACAACUUAGUUUUUAUAAUAUCUAAUUACUUACCAAUUUCACUACUUUAUUAUUUUUAUAUACAAAAUAAAAACGAUUAUUAAAAAAAAAAAAAUGCAUGUGAGUGGGCUGAGAGAAACAAAGAAGAGAAAGAGAUAGAAGCUUAUUUGGGAGGAACAAUCUUCCUUUCUUUCAUUUGUUUUCUUUCCGCAAUUGUGACUCCAGUACGUGACACAAUUAUCAAAGUUGUCAUGGGCAUAACAUAAAGCACCAACACUCAAAAUCAGAAACCAUACAUAACUUUUCAUCGUUACACUCCGAAUCCUCUCCAAUUUUUUAUCUUCUUCUUCUACGAUCACGAGAACACAGCUCCAGGAUCCACUUCAUUUUCACUCUUCAUAGACCCAACCAUCAAUGUUCGUCUUCUCGGCACCGUCUAACCCUUGCCGCCCUUGCCUUGGCCCGUUCGCUUCUCCUCUCGGCGCCCCUUCAUAGAGUCGCCGCGCACCCCCUCCGUUUCCGGAGUCGAUGAGGACAAUUCGCCUCCGAUCUCAGGUAAGCCCGAUCCUCUCCUGACCUUGCUCUGUAUCCCCUGUUUUAAUCCCUUUAUCUUUAUAGUUUGGUCUCUGUCAGAUUCACUGCUUAGAAUUUUGUUUGAUAAUAGUUCGAAUUUGGUGUGUUCCGGAACUUGUGUUUUGGGUAGAUGUGAUUUUAGUCUGUACCUGUUUUUAUGAAUUCUGUGAGUUUUAUGUGGAAUCGAAGGAAGCCUUUCUAGAAUGUUGGUGACAAGACCUGUUUCCAAUGGGAGGAAGGACGUUUUUGGUUGUUGGAGUGAGGUUCUGGAAAAUCAUUGAUUGAUUGUGUAACUGGUUUCAUUGAUGAAGUUUAUUUCUGCUCAUUAUGGAUUGUAGUGGUCGGAUUAAUAUAAUAUAAUUUUGGGUUUUGCUCUAUUCUUUUUAUUCGUUGGUAGCAUGUUUGUGAUUGUUUGAUUGUGAAUUUUCUGGGCUUGUUUCCAGUUCAUGUUCUUGCGUUUUCUGAGUUCAUUUUGUGGUGGUGUGACGAUCCUCGAUUGCAUCUGCUGUUUCGAUUCUUUUGAUGUUAAUUGCAUUUGAUUGGGGUACUCUUUUGAUGCUACAUAGGUGCAGUGGUUUUGUUUUGAUAUAUACACGACCGUGGGAUUCGUGCUUCUUAUCAUAAUCUUAGUCGUUUUUUGUUUUUAUGAUGCUAAUAAGGGUUGUACAUGUAUAUGUGUGCCUAUGACUGAAACGAUUGAAAUGAUAGUGAUGUUGUGAAAUAUAUAAAUGAUAUUAAAUUCUAUAUAUGUGAUAAAUGUUGUAAUUUGUGUAAGUUAUAUGAUAUAAAUUGAUUAUAUAUUUAAUUUGAAUAUUAAGAAAGUCACUCAAGAAAUAUGGGAAAGAAAUUGUUGAUAGUUUUUUAUUUUGAUCCAAAUUAUAGUAACACAUUCCAUACUAAGAUUUUGGUCCAUUAACAGAUUAUAAAAUUUAAUAAAGAUCAUUUGUUAAGUUUGUUUAAUUAUCAUUUAUAAGAUGCAUGAGACGAUAAAUAGAUAUCAAUAACUCAUAUUUUCUCCAUGAACAUUAAAUGAUGAUGAAUAUCUUAUUUUUUUCUUUUAUAAUUUUUUUUAUUACAUGUAUUACUAUAAGAUUUUGUCAUUGGAAAAUUUCACCAACUUGACUACCAAUAUUUUGUUACAAAAAUCUUUCUAUGACAACAAAAGCAAAAUCAAUAAAGUUCAUUAUACAUGGUCUAUGAUCAUCUAACAAAUUUUUUUAUAACCAUCUAAGAUAAAGUUUUCAUUUAAAUUUAUGAAUAAAAUAAUAAUUUAAUAUGAUAUUAAAAAUAUGAUACCUAUUAUUUUAUAUGGUGGUGAAUACGAUAUAAAUAAUAUCAUUAGAAUUAAAUUUGGAGAUUCUAGAACUCUCAGAUUCUCUUGUGACAAAAUAAAUUUCAGUUACUGAUUUGGUUGUUAUAUAAAUAAAUUUUAUUAUAGUUGCUAUUUUGAUAAAUUUUUUUAUUGUAACAAAGAUUAUAUUAUUUAUAUCAUAUUCAUAAAAUAAAAGGUAUCAUCUUUCCAAGAUCAAAUCAAAAUACUAUUAUAUUUAUAAAUUUAAAUGAAAACUUUACUUCAGUAUUUUUUUAAUAGUUCACUGGAUUUAUAAUUAGAUGGUUGAGAAAAGAAAUUGUUAGAUGGCCAUAAUCCAUGUAUAGUAAAUUUUAUGGAUUUUGCUUUUGUUGUCAUUGAGAUAUUUUCAUGACAGAAUCUUGAUGUCUAGUUUGUGCAAUCUUCUAAUUUACCAAAUUCUCUAGUAGUAUAAUAUAAAAAAAAAAAAAAAACACUAUGUAAGCAAAAAUAAAGAUAUUCAUUAUAAUUGAAUGUUCAUACGAAAUUAAUGAGUUAUUGAUCUUUAUUUAUAGUCUUGCAUGACCUAAUUAAAUAAACUUAAUAAAUAGAAGUCAUUAAAUUUGGUAAUGUGUUACAAAAUUUCAUCCUAGAAUGUGUUAUUAUAAUUUUAUCGAAAUAAAAGAACAAUUAUAUCAACAUAAUUUCUUUUCACAUUUCAUUGAUUUUUUUAAUAUUUAAAUUGAAUGAUAUAUAUAUAUAUAUAUAUAUAUAUAUAUAUAUAUAUAUUAUCAUUUUCAUUUUAAAGUUAAAUAAUUUAAACUUAUGAUUUAAUUUUUAAAAUUCUAAGACAUAAUGUUAAUAAAGACCCUAAUCAACUGUAAGCCUAAUUCAUGCAUAAUGUAAGACAUAUGCCUUGUUCUUUGUCAAAAACGAAACAAUAUUAUUGAAAAUUUUUAGUAAAUUCAUGAAAGUAUGCUAAAUUUAUAUCCUUGAAAACUAGUUCUACUAGUAAUAUAAUAAAUGAAAUUACCAAAUAUCUUAGACUUAAUUUAGAAUACAGUUAGCGUUAUUAAAUUUAUACCAUUGAAAAAUACAAUUAAAUUAUUACUGUAUUUAAUCAAAUAUAUAAAUUUUUGAACAUUAAUAUUAAGAAACUAUCUCAAGUUCAAAAAUAAUUCCAGUUAGACUCUCAAGUGAAUUGUACCAUCACACAACACCUAAAAACACUAAUUGAAAAAGUUGAAAUGCACAUUAGAAAAAUAAAUUAAAUAUUGGUUUAGACUAAUUAAAAGAAUUAUAGUAAAAUUUGUCACACCCCAUUUAAUACCCCUCCUUAGUGGGGUACACAUGUCAAACCGUCCGAUCUUCCCUGAUAAGUGGGAGACCAACUCUGCUAGUAAUUAAUUCCCUUUCCCCGUGAUCCGUGUAAUAGUAGAAGGAAUGUGAACUUCCAGGAAGUGGAAGUCAGGUGGCAAGCUGGGAAUGGGCUGGACGUUCUUAGUGGAGGCAGUAUUUAAGGUGAGAUUGAAACCUGACGCCACUUUUCUCAUGCAAACUUUCUUCUUCCUCAAACUCCAACUUCCUGAAAACUCAAAAUCUCCUUCUUCUCUCUAAACUUCCCAACUUUCUCUCUAGAUUUCUGACCUUCAUUUCUUCUCCGAUCACUUGCAUCCAUUCAGGGUUCUUACUACCGGCACCAAGCCCUUCAACUUGCACCAAUCCAAACCUCAUUCUGAACUGGUAAGUGUUCCGGACCCUUGAAGUUACUUGGUCUUCUUGCAUGCAUGCACCAGUAAAGCUUGCAUGUAACUGUUAAACCAUUUCUCUGAACCUACUUUUGUAUUUAAUUCUAGAGCUUUAGAAACCUUAGAAGAGAUAGUUGCUGCCAACCAACAUUAAACGUACUAGCUGGAAUUAGAGGUAAGGGAAGCUUAUAAAGUUUAAUUAUGAUUUCUUUGUAUGGUUGGUUGCUGGAUCUAAUGUAUGUUUGAUGAUUUUAAUGGCAUGAUAAAAAUGUGAUAUGUUAUUGUAUGAAUUGUAUGAUAUGUCUGAGUUUAAAUUCUGUAUUUAGUAUGAACGGAUGAAACUUAGAGAAAAUAUGAAUUUGUGAUCGAAGGUCAUUAGGAUCAUUCGGUACUCCCCUUUUUACCAUCCGGUCCAUUCGGACGGUUCGGCAUAGUGAGUUUACUAAAUUCAGUUUGGUUCAUUUAAUAUUAUUAUUGAUAAUUACUUAAGAACGUUGGUCAUAAACCAAGUGUUCGGUCUUACAAGUGUUCGGCCUUAGGCUAACACUUAGUUUAUGAAGCAUUUGAAUUUAAUAUUCUUCCUAGCCUUCGACCAUGUUAAGAGCGGUCUUAUACCAAUACUUAAAUCCUUAAAAACGUUCGGUUUAUAACAUUCCUUGCCAGACCGUCCGGAUGACUAUCACUUAUAGCCCAUCCUUUGGUGUCCGGUCUUAUUCCUUGUCGGACCAUCCGAUCACUAUUAAUCAUAAUUCAAUCUGUGGUAUUUAGUCCUGUUUAUUGCCGGACCAUCCGGUCAACUAUUCAUAAAUCCUUCUAUGGCAUUUGGUUCUAUUUUGUGUCAGACCAUCCGGUCCAAUCUUCUUGUUUACUCAAAUCUCUCAUUCUAUCAUUGACCGUCCGGUCAUUUUCUUAACGUCCUUCUUUUGUGAACGUGAUAAUGAACAUUGAUUGAAUUUGGCUAAGUAAGGGAAUUCCAAUGGAGGAAUGUCUCAUGAAUUGGUGAUGGUUGGUAAAGUAUGAACAUGGUCAGACUCUGGUUGUCGUCCUGAUCCUGAUAUUCCGUGAUGACGCUUUCUCAUGUAGAGAAAGGUUACUCAUGUGUGGGAAUGACAGGAGGUCCGCGGUCAUAAGAUCAGAUGAUCAUUGUAGGACCAACCUCGGGUGGCAGUUGAUAGUUCAGGCAACUACUACACCACACCGGGUGCUAGGGACGUCGAGCUACGUGGUUCAUACCGUCCGGACAGUGUCUUAGUGGUCGGUCAUGAUUAAAGGAACGUAGUAUGCAUGUGUAGUAAUUGUGUGUAUGAAAUGUUGAUUGGUUUCGGUUUGUAUGUUUACUUGUAUGAUUGAAAUGAUUAAUUAAAUUUACAUAAGCUUACCCUUAUCUGUCCUGUCUUUGUGUAUGUUGUCGUUCGGUAUUUGACCGUCCGGUUAUUCCCUUCAAUGCAAUGAUCAUCCUUUUGGGUGUGAGCAGAGGGUAUCUUGGAGGACACCUUAGAGGAUACCUUGGAAGAUGUUGUGCAUGUCGAGCAAGCAGUGGAAGCCAUGCCGGAGAGCUGUGUCGGACCGUCUGGUCCUUAGAAUAGUUUUCUUUCAUCUUUUAGUAUAGAUAACCGUCCGGUUAUGUUUUGUAAAACCGUUCGGUCGAACUUCUAAAAUCUAUAUUCAGCCUUCACUAUUGUACAGUUUUAAAAUUUCAGUGUUAUUUCUACUUCCUUCAUCCACCUAUACUUAUUCACCACUGUUCUCACUUAUUAUUCAUGUUAACUCCUAAAAUGGAUUGUAACUUCUGUUAUAUAUUUAUUGGGAUGUUACAAAAUUAACAAAAUCAAAAACUAAAAUUUAUUCCAGAAUUAAGAAUUCUGUAAUAAAUUUGAUUAAAUGGAAUUAUUAAUGUUAAUAUUCAAUAAUUAGUAUAUUUGAUUAAAUACAAUUAUAAUUAUAAUUUUAUUUUUCAUGAAUUUAAUAAUGCACCAUGUUUUAUAAUUUAAGUCUUAGAUAUUUUGUAAUUUCAAUUAUUAUGUACAUAAAUUUCUUUUUAAGAAUAUAAUUUUAACACACUUCCAAUAAUUAAUUAAAUGUUUUCAGUAAUAUUGUUUUAAUUUUUGAAAAAGAGCUAGAAGUAUGUCCCUCAAGCUUUACAAGCAUGGAUUAUGUUUAUGAUUGUUAGGGUCUUUAUUAGCAUUUAUGUUAGGUUUAAGUAUUUAAAAAAAAAUGUACUUAAAAUUAUUUAUUCUUUAAAGUUAAAUUGACUAUAUAUAUAUAUAUAUAUAUAUAUAUAUAUAUAUAUAUAUAUAUAUAUAUUCAAUUUGAAUAUUAAGAAAGUCUCAUAAAAUUUGAAAAAAACAAUAUUGUUGAUAGCUUUUUAUUAAGAAAGUUAUAGUAACAUUAUUCUAGAAUAAAAUUUUGUUCAACUAACAAAUUACAAAAUUUAAUAAAGCUAAUUUGUUAAGUUUUUAAAAGAUAAAUGAGAUUAUAAAUAAAGAUUAAUAAAGCUGGUUUGUUUAAUUAACAAAUUACAAGAUGAUUUGUUGAAUUAACAAAUUACAAAAUUUAUAGUUUUAAUCGAUUAGAUUAAAACAGAAAAUUGGGCUUAAUCUAUUAAGAAAUUAAUUUAAUCGAUUAAAUGUAUCAAUUUUUAUAUUAUAUUAUAUAUAUAUAUAUAUAUAUAUAUAUAUAUAUAUAUAUUCUAACUUGUUUUAAUUACAAAAAGUUGUCUUUAAACAUUUUUGAAGUACAACCAAACAUUUUACAUUUUGAAAUCUGAAAGAUCUAGAAGGUUCCAAGAAGAAAGGAAGAAAGUGGUUACAGGUUUCCAAGAGGACUGCGGUGGUUUUCAUAUGUGAGAUGUGCACAUAGUGGUGUAUCCAGAUUUUGUUUUUUUUGGUAUAAAUUUUGUAGUUGCCUUGGCUAAGGAGGCAAGGUUGUGAGAGAGAGAGAGUGAGUGUUGGUUGAGUCUCUUUUGUUUGUAAUUCUUUGUAUUAAAGUGUGUAAGGAUACAUUUGAAAGUUUUUUUUUUUUUUAAUUUUUUCAAUUAAGGUUGUUGAAGAAGAAUUAGAUAUAGACUCAGAUUUUGUUAUAUGAUCUUAUUUAAAUUUCUGCAUUUUCUUUUAUUGAUUAAAAUAUUUUAUAAACAGGUUUCAAGAACUUUAGUUUUUCAAAGAAUUGUUAAAAGCUAUUUUAAAUCCAAUUUAUCUCUUGAAUUUAGACGGACAUGAAUGUUAAUAAAGUUUCUAAUAAAUCAUAAACAUACUUCAUGCGACGUGUAAAACGUAUGCUUUUUUUUAAACAAUAUUAUUAAAAACUUUUAAUUAAUUCAUGAUAGUAUGCUAAAUUUAUAUCUAUGAAAAUCAGUUGCAUAACAAUUGAAACUAUAUAAUAUGAUAUUUAAUUUAGAACACAAGGAACAUUAUUAAAUUCAUGCCAUAUAUUUCCUACAUGUGACAUUCUAAUUAUAUUCCAAUUAUAUAAAAAGGGCAUACAUAAUUAAAACGUCAUGAAUAAUAUUAUAAAGCAGUUAAGAAUAGAAUGAUAGUUAAUUAAAGGAUUAUAGUCAUCCUUAAAACAAUAUUUAGAAUUUGGAAAUGGAGUACUAAAGUUCCUCCCUGGAAAAUACAAGGGAUUAAAACUUAGAACAUGAUAAGUUCUUCAAAAUAAAAGGCUAAUCAAGUGAAGCCUGGUGGACUAAACUGCAAGACUGCCAUCCCCGUCAAGAGUUGUUUCCAAGCUAACCUCCUCGUCAUCUACUCUCAUCCAAGUGAAUGAACAUCGCAAAAGAAAACAAUGCAAACAUGGCACAAACACAAGCAAGUAAGGGUGAGCUAAUUAUAUAAAAAGCAUGCAAUUAUACCAACAUGAACAUACUAGAUUCAACCCAAGUAAAGUAUAUACAAGCAAGGCAAUAUAUACAACACAGGUCCUAACAUGUUAUCUUUUAGACUUGACUCGUCCAGACUUUAGAAUGAUAGUCGAGCUAUGGCGAGUCAUGCACCCGUGGUGGCUUGUGAUACUUAGGCUCCCCCACCUUGGGCUCCCCCGCCCUGCCACACUCACGAGGUUAGUUUGUUCCGCGCCUUGGAGCAUGAUGGAAACCUCCAAGACUAAGACCUCCUACUACUCCUCACCACAUGGUCAGCCUUCUCUACAUGAGAAGAAAGACCUUUGGAGCGUCAAGAAGACCCCAAGACUGAGCUCCUACUUUCAUUCUAAAACACUAAAAAUCUCACCAAGAGAUUUUUACAAUUAAACCACCACCAAUAACCUUGAAACCAUGUUUAUUUCUUUCCCUAAUUCAUAUACCUUUAUGGUCACAUACUUUCAAGUUAACAACAUCACCUCAAUCAUAAUUUACAUUGAAAUCAUUCCACAUACAUUUCCAAACAAUAACAAACCCAGAAGAACCACUAAACACCACAAGAUCUCGUAAACUCAUACUUAGACAAAGAAAACAACUUUGAAACCAUCACCAACAGUUUCAGAAGGGUCAAAACCCCCCAAAACAACCUAAAGAACGUCCAAAAAUGAUACCCGAAACCCCGAAAACCACCAAAAACUGUUAUGGAUGAUUUUUAGACAACAAUAAUCGAUUAUCAGAUGUAAUAAUCGAUUAUCAUAUGUAAUAAUCGAUUAUCAUUUAUAAUAAUUGAUUAUUUACGAGAACUUUGAAGAAAAUAUGAUGUUAUGACUAGGAUAAUCGAUUAUCAAGUGAGAUAAUCGAUUAUCAAGUGAGAUAAUCGAUUAUCAAUUGAGAUAAUCGAUUAUUCUUAUCAGUUUUUUACAGCAAACUGAUUUUUUUCUAGUUUUGGUGCAUCUAAAACAUAUCCAAAUGAACAAUUUAAAAUCUGUAAGACUAAUAUUGAUAAGAAACAUAUUUAUAGAUGAAAGUAAAGUAUUGCAUUAGUUAUUUCGAUAAGAAUUAGAUGUACUAAACUAACUCAAAUUUUAUUCCCAACAUCAAACUCAAUAACUAGAGGACCCCAAACUCAAUUCUAACACUUUGUCCCUAUUUUGACCAAUUUGGUGACUCAAACAAGUCACAAUUCACUUGCUAAGACUGCCCCAACAGUCCAAGUGCACUCAAAACCCCAAAUGCUUAAAAUCACCCUCUCACUUCCCUCCAAUCCACCUAUAAUGUGUUCCUAAUUAUUAAUCUGCUUAACUGAACAUCAUAGAGAUCUACCCUUUUUCCCCCAAUCCCGCUUACACCUCAAUUGGUCACCGGAGAGAAAAUAGAUGUCUGACGCAUCAGACUCACCUUCGGCACCAGCACAUAUGACUAGUCACAACUGACUGGACCAGGCCAGGGCUACUCUAUGAUCAGGGAUGUGCCAGCUCUGAUUUUUAGGUUUCCUCUAUCCUACCAACAAAGAAGGUUCCUAACAGGUUCAAUUGACUUAUUUAAAUUAUCCUAGUUGCACUACAGUGUUCUUAAGCCUCAAUUACCCCUAGUCAGUACUUCACUUCCCCUCACAGAUCCUAAAAUUCUACACAGCCCAUACCCUUCAUCAAAUCCUCAGUACAAUCAAAUUUCCAGUAACCACAACAUGUUCAGCAUGUCAAUUUCCAACAUCCCAUCCAUUCAAAACAAGCCAACACAUACAAUACCAAAUCCACAGGUUCAUGCUUAAUAUUCCAGGGCAUAUCAUCUUACAUUUACAAAAGCAGCAUAUUUUCAUAUCAACCAUUACACAAACCAGUUCAACAUAUAUUCCCAUCAAUCAAAAUACCAAUCAAUAAGCAAUAUAUUUAUCUAUAUAGUUAGCUCCUCUUAUCUUUUUGGUGCUCAACACAGUUCACAGUACAUGCCCCAAAAGUACCCUUACAGUGCUGGACUCACAGAACCUACAAUCACCAAAUUGGCGAUAAAGUAAUGUCCUCAAAGUUUGAAUUGGCAGGAAACACAAGGGAAAGUAUGCUAGUAGCAAGCAACCUGUAAAGUUGCAUGCCCUAGACAUCAAAACAGUGAAGGGAAAGGGGGAAGUCUACUUACCCGAUGAAACGCGAAACCAAUCGGAUGGUUCUGUAGCUCUAGACUCCAGGAGCAAGGAAAUGUCACCAAAUUAAUAUUCAAUCGGUGGAAAUGGCAGGAAACCUAGAAAGAAAUCAGAGCACUUGAGUUAGGGCAAGGUUUCUGUUCUAGAGAGAGAUGAAUCUAUAAAAUGAAAUCUGACUUGCAAGGAAAGGACCUCUCCCAAGAUUCAAGUGUCCUUGAGUCAAUGGGCCUGGCUUGUCAAAUUAGAGCCCAAUAGCCCUAUAAUUUUUUUUAAGGCUCUUACACUACCCACAACUCUAUAUAUAUUAGUAACAUAAAAAACUUGUAACUCGUCACAUAGUCUCUAUUUUGUUGUGUUGACCUGGAACAGUCUGUGAAGAAGUUGAGCUGAUUGGUUGACUCGCCACCUAGAGAACCUGGAAACACAUUUGCAAAGGCUGGAACAGAUUGCACAUGAUGUUGACCUGUAACUAGCAGUUAACGAGACUAGCUAUGGACUAUUCCAAUUAAUAGGUUUCUUCCUAGGCUAGAGUAUAAAAGACCAAAAUCAGAAAACUUAAAAGAGUUUGUUUACAAUUCAGUUCACACAGUUUUGGAAUUAUUUUUAGUUAACUAUGUUAGGUUAGAAUUAGGAUUUUCAAUUCACUAAUUUCUUUUAUUAAAUUCUUUGUUCCAUUAAUUAAUUAGGAUCAUUAUAAACAUGUUUUCGCUUUCAUAUAGCCAAUUUAACCAAUUCUGCAUAGUAGAAUAGGAUUUACAUUGUGUUGUCAGAUUAACUAGUUGAUUCCGGAUUAAGAAUUCUGGAACUCAUCCACCUGUAUUCCGGAAUGCACUUUUAAGCUUCCGAAUUGCUCACUUUUUGUUAUAAUAUAACCCUUCUUCUUCCAGAUGCUUUCCACUGCUCCACCGCCACAGUUCUCAACACUCCCACUCAAUCUAUAUUGCAAACUCACUACGGUCACACUUAUCCGAUUUUAAAGAUAUAUUUAAGGAUUACGUCUUUCAUUUAACCAUUUUUCUAUAAAAGAGAGAAAAAUAUGCAGGACAAAGAUGUUUGAAAGUAAUCAAAAUUCUUUUUGUUAUAUGAUGAAAUUCUGUAACAUUCUCCACACAAAAAGACAAGAAAAUAGUUGUUUUUCGAUGACCACGUGUGGUGAGUUCAGCCUCAUGCCAGAUGCAAAAAUGAAAAUAAAACUUCUCAGCCAAAGCCUUUAAAUGCAAAUGCAUCCUUAAAAAACUAUACACAUUCAUAUAUCAAACUCAUUAAUUAUAUCUUCGUUUUAGCAAACAUGUGGUCUGUGAUAACGGAUCCCAUCAGAAACCUUUUUGCAAAUGUUCUUCACCAGUUCGUCCACAAAGACUUCCAUGAAGCAGUGGCCAAAAUGACCAUAAUAGAUGCUUUUCUCUUCAUUGUAUACACACAAUUCCUUCUACGUCAUAUUAUCAUAACAUGAAUAGAUGUUACAUUAGUGAUAGUAUUAACUAUGACAUCAUUUUCAAAGCAUUAAUUAAGUUGUGAUCAUCACGAAAUGAGUCUGUUUCAUGCAGAUUGUUCAUUCCAUUGACAAGCUGGGGAUAUGGCCUCGUCUGCCUGUUUUCUUAGGGCUAUUGUAUCUGGCUAUCAGACGACACCUUCACCAAGAGUACAACCUCUUCAACGUUGGAACAACACCAACUGGGAUUAGGUUCAGCCCUUCAGAUUUUCCAUACAGAACAGCUGAUGGAAAAUAUAAUGAUCCUUUCAAUGAAGUUGCUGGCAGCCAAGGCUCUUUCUUUGGCAGAAAUAUGCUCCCUGUUCAUCAGAAGAAAAAGGUCCACAAUCAUACAUAUAUAAUGCUAGUUAUAAUUUCAUAAAAUAUCAGCGUUUCUACUACUAGAUGAACUUAUAGUUUGUUGACUUGUUCCUUGAUGAUUGUGAAUUUUGAAGGCAUAGUUUUGUGUGUGUGUGCAGCUAUUGAAGCCUGAUCCAAUGGUGGUAGCCACAAAACUACUAGCCAGGAGGAAAUACAAGGAAACAGGGAAGCAAUUCAAUGUGAUUGGAGCUUCUUGGAUUCAAUUUAUGAUUCACGAUUGGAUCGAUCAUCUUGAGGAUACCAAACAGGUCCUAACUCUAUGACACUGUAACCAAUUUCUAAAACUUAUUUCAAUAUUACUUUUAAAUUUCAUGUAUAAAAAUAUUUAUAUUUGUCUAUUAAAAAUAUUUAUUUAUGUGAUAACUGCACAUAAUGAGCUUUUUUAUUUAGAUAUACAGUAGAAGAUAUUUAAUUUGUUCACGGAAUUUUGAUACAUAUAUGUAGAUUGAACUCACUGCACCAAAAGAAGUUGCAAGCCAAUGCCCUCUAAAAUCUUUCAAAUUCUUCAAGACUAAGGAAAUUCGCACUGAAUUCUAUGAGAUCAAAUCCGGAUCAUUAAACAUUCGAACACCUUGGUGGUAAGAUUUCUACUGCACUUUGCCUGAGCAAAAAGUUAAAAGUUAACGUUGAUAAGUUUAUCAUUCAUACUUCUUAUGACUGACUAAAUUUCAGAAAAAUUAGUUUUUAAAAUGCGGAUUAGAUCUCACCUAUAUAUUGUAAUAGAUUUCGAAAGAAAUGGAAAAAGGUUAUUUGACAUCAAUUUGUCCUUUCGAAAUGUCCUUUAGGAAUGUACUUAGCAAUGAUACUGACAGAACUUAUAAUUUGAAAAGUAGAAUUUAAAUUUAAAGACUGCAACUUGUGUAAUGGUUUGGCUUUUGGGUGCCCACGUACAUGCAUGCACAUAUUCAAUGUAAGGGGACACGAUAAUGAUCACAGGUAUCUGUACAAAAUAAGUAAUAGAUAUUAAUAACACUUUGAACUUCAAAGGGUCGGCGAAAGUUCUGUGAUUUGGUUAUACGUAGGUUGUCUUACACUGUGUCAAUAUCUUUGGUGGGGUGGUUUUGACAGUAAUGGCUUAUAUUGUGACUCAAGUGUAGUUUUUAAGUUUAUGAACACACUGAGUUGCCUGAAAAAAAAGAAGAAGACAUUUCCAUUAAGUGAGGAUAUGGUCGGUGAAAUAGGGAUGCAAGUGCUGUGUAUGGAAGCAAUGGAGAAGUUUUACAGAAAGUGAGGACAUUCAAAGAUGGAAAGCUAAAGAUAUCAAAGGAUGGAAACCUUCUGCAUAACGAAAAUGGAACAGCAGUUGCAGGUGACGUCCGCAACAGUUGGGCUGGUGUUUCAACUCUGCAG
rnacentral:lncRNA from 1 species